rnacentral:rRNA from 1 species
CCCGGCGACCGGCGCACGGGUGAGUAACACGUAUGGAACCUGCCCGCAGCAGGGGGAUAAGCGGAAGAAAUUCCGUCUAAUACCGCGUAACACCGCGGAGGGGCAUCCCUCGGCGGUUAAAGAUUCAUCGGCUGCGGAUGGCCAUGCGGCGCAUUAGCUAGUCGGCGGGGUAACGGCCCACCGAGGCGACGAUGCGUAGGGGUUCUGAGAGGAAGGUCCCCCACAUUGGAACUGAGACACGGUCCAAACUCCUACGGGAGGCAGCAG